rnacentral:rRNA from 1 species
UUUUAACGAGGAACCAUUGGAGGGCAAGUCUGGUGCCAGCAGCCGCGGUAACUCCAGCUCCAAUAGCGUAUAUUAAAGUUGUUGCGGUUAAAAAGCUCGUAGUCGGAUGUCUGUCUUCGGCCGGGCGGCGCCGCUCUGAAUCAAGGGUGCGCGUUCUUUCGCUCUGGGAGACGGGUGUCAAAGCCCGACUCUCUUCACGGUCGGACAACAUCGCCGGAGUGGUGGCCGGUGGAUCGUCGGGUACGGGUGCGCGUAUACGAAUCGGCCUUCGGGUCUGUCUCUGUGCGCGUGCUUCCGGCGGUUCGCUCCACCCGUCAAUCGUCCGGGGUGCCCUUCACCGGGUGUCUCGGGCGGCCGGCAACGUUUACUUUGAACAAAUUAGAGUGCUCAAAGCAGGUGUAUCCCAACGCCUGAAUAUCGCAGCAUGGAAUGAUGGAAUAGGACCUCGGUCCGAUUUUGCUGGUCUUUUACUUUUGGACCCGAGGUAAUGGUCAAUAGAGACGGAC